ACCAUGGACAAGUUUCUGUGAGUAUGCCUUGUUGUCUUUGAAAACAAUGGAUGCUGAAGCUAACGCAGCAGCCAUUUCGGCAGCAAGAUCUGAGCAACUACUGCAUGUUAGUACAGGCCGUACAUAAUCAAUGUCCUCCGGGCGCAUCCAGCAAUAAUGAUCGUUUGGACUUGUAUUUCCUCCGGAGGUAUCCCCCACUCCCACCUGCAUAACAAUGGUACUAAUAGAAUCAGCAGUAUGGUUAAAAGUCUUGAGGAAGUAGUCACUUCCCCACUUAAUAAUAUCUUUG
rnacentral:misc_RNA from 1 species